rnacentral:rRNA from 1 species
GACGAACGCUGGCGGCGUGCCUAACACAUGCAAGUCGAGCGAAGUGAGUACUACGGUACGAACUUAGCGGCGGACGGGUGAGUAACGCGUGGACAAUCUACCCUGUAGACUGGGAUAACACCUCGAAAGGGGUGCUAAUACCGGAUAAUGUCGAGAAGCGGCAUCGCUUUUCGAAGAAAGGAGGGAAUCCGCUAUAGGAGGAGUCCGCGUCCCAUUAGCUAGGUGGUGAGGGUAACGGCCCACCAAGGCGACGAUGGGUAGCCGGCCUGAGAGGGUGAACGGCCACACUGGAACUGAGACACGGUCCAGACUCCUACGGGAGGCAGCAGUGGGGAAUAUUGUGCAAUGGGGGAAACCCUGGCACAGCAACGCCGCGUGAGCGAAGAAGGCCUUCGGGUUGUAAAGCUCAAUAGUAUGGGAAGAUAAUGACGGUACCAUACGGAAGCCCCGGCUAACUACGUGCCAGCAGCCGCCGUAAUAC